CGGAGGAUCCAAGCGUUAUCCGGAUUUAUUGGGUUUAAAGGGUGCGUAGGCGGCCUAUUAAGUCAGGGGUGAAAGACGGUAGCUUAACUAUCGCAGUGCCUUUGAUACUGAUAGGCUUGAAUGUACUUGAGGUAGGCGGAAUGUGACAAGUAGCGGUGAAAUGCAUAGAUAUGUCACAGAACACCAAUUGCGAAGGCAGCUUACUAAAGUAUGAUUGGCGCUGAGGCACGAAAGCGUGGGGAUCAAACAGGAUUAGAUACCCUGGUAGUCCACGCCCUAAACGAUGAACACUCGAUGUUGGCGAUAUACGGUCAGCGUCUAAGCGAAAGCGUUAAGUGUUCCACCUGGGGAGUACGCCCGCAAGGGUG
rnacentral:rRNA from 1 species